UUUGAUCCUCUUUCUCAUGACUCCUCGGGGGAUAUGAUGACUCAGGGUGUUGCCCCUUGAGCAAAAGAACUGAGGAGGCAGCAGGUGUCAGGGAAUAGGCAAAGUUAACCCAAGUGAUUGGAUGAACUGGUAAGCAAUUGAUAAAACAGCCCUGUUUUCAAUUUUCCAAUAAGUGGCAUGUAAUCUAACUCUUUCUCACACCUGAAUAGGUAACACAUAUUUGAUUAUUCUUUCUGUACAGUUUUUAAAUUUAAUCUGGAACAAACUGUAAUUUCUUUGACAAUAAUAAUGAUAGUGAUUCAGGAAUAGCAGAAAUGGGUAAGGUUGGUAUUUCAGAUCAAGAAUGGAACCAUCAUCAGCAUGGCAGCUUUGUCCCUCUUUACCCUAAAAUGUUCAUGAUUUAAGAAAAUAUUUGGCAGCAGGAGAGAUUCCUUUCCUCAUUUAACUUGUUCUCAUAGAAUAGGGAAGUAUUGGUGGGGAUUCAGCUUAUGAUAUGAACCAUAUACUCUUAGAUGACACAUGUGAAAAUAGGCUUGUCUGGAUAGCAGUAUAGCAGCACCCCACAGUGUGGCCUGGACUCACCCUGAAAAUGCUAUGCUGACCUGUUGCCACGGUAAUGAUGAUGGACACCUUGCCUUCCAUUUCAACUGUCACUCUGUGAGCUGAGAGCAGUUAUUCCAUUACCACGGUGCUAGUGACGGUCCCCAGAGAUGGGAAACUGCUGUACAGGCUCUUGCCUCCUGGAUACAGAAAUAGUUCCUUCAAGGUCAAGACGAUCUAUUGCCCACUCCAACCAGUGCUGCAGAAGAGUCUCCCUGUGGCUGCUGGAAAGUGCACACCCUGGAGAGGAUGACGACGGAGAUUCCACUAAGGUCCUGAUGGAAGUUGCUCCCUGCAACACUACAGAGGAUGAGAAACAGUUUAUUGUCCAGGUGGAUUCCACAGCGAAUGGAAAUUUUCCCUCCAAGGUCUUGGUGGACUCAAUACCCCCAGACAGAGCAGAAGAGGAGGACCCACUGAAUGCCCUGGUGGACACCAGAAGAAUUGAUGAUGAUUCCCACAAUGACACCAGCGUGGACAAGGACUUGGGGUCCAGCGGCUCAGAGGACCUGGAGCUGCCAAAGGGCUGGGGAUGAGCAGCCUUUCCCUGGCCCUCCUCUCCAUAGUCACAUUACGAUCUGUUUGUUAAAGAACACUUUUGUGUGGAAGCUCUCCAGUUAAUGUUGGAUGUUUUAUUUUGUAAAUGUUAAAGGAUAUUUCAUGGCAUAUAAUUAAUGUUGGUUGUUUUAUAUUAAAUAAUAGUCUGCUACGACCAGUUGCUUUCAAACUUCUUCCUUUUUUUUUGGUACCAGGGAUUGAAUUUGGAACGUUUCGCUUGCAA
rnacentral:lncRNA from 1 species